rnacentral:rRNA from 1 species
UACAGAGGGUGCAAGCGUUGUUCGGAAUUACUGGGCGUAAGCGCGCGCAGGCGGUUCUUCAAGUCAGAGGUGAAAGCCCAGGGCUCAACCCUGGAAUGGCCUUUGAGACUAGAGAACUAGGGUACGGGAGAGGUGAGUGGAAUUCCGAGUGUAGAGGUGAAAUUCGUAGAUAUUCGGAAGAACACCAGUGGCGAAGGCGGCUCACUGGCCCGUUACCGACGCUCAGGCGCGACAGCGCUGGGGAGCAAACAGG